rnacentral:rRNA from 1 species
GGAGUCGCAGGCUGCAACCCGCCUGCGUGAAGUUGGAAUCGCUAGUAAUCGCGGAUCAGCAUGCCGCGGUGAAUACGUUCCCGGGCCUUGUACACACCGCCCGUCACACCAUGAGAGUCGGGAACACCCGAAGUCCGUAGUCUAACCGCAAGGGGGACGCGGCCGAAGGUGGGUUCGAUAAUUGGGGUGAAGUCGUAACAAGGUAAC